rnacentral:rRNA from 1 species
GUGCCAGCCGCUGCGGUAAUACAGAGGUCUCAAGCGUUGUUCGGAAUCACUGGGCGUAAAGAGUACGUAGGCUGUCAUGUAAGUCAGAAGUGAAAGGCAGGGGCUCAACCCCUGGACUGCUUUUGAUACUGCGUGACUUGAGUAAUGGAGGGGAACCGGAAUUCUCGGUGUAGCAGUGAAAUGCGUAGAUAUCGAGAGGAAGACUCGUGGCGAAGGCGGGUUCCUGGACAUUAACUGACGCUGAGGUACGAAGGCCAGAGUAUCGAAAGGAUUAGAUACCCUGUAGUUCUGGCAGUAAACGUGCACGCUUGGUGUGUGAGGAUCGACCCUUA